rnacentral:rRNA from 1 species
GAUGAACGCUGGCGGUAUGCUUAACACAUGCAAGUCGAACGGACUCUUCGGAGUUAGUGGCGACGGGUGAGUAACGCGUGAGAAUCUGGCUUUGGGUUCGGGACAACCACUGGAAACGGUGGCUAAUACCGGAUGUGCCGAGAGGUAAAAGAGAAAUUGCCUGAAGAUGAGCUCGCGUCUGAUUAGCUAGUUGGUGAGGUAAAGGCUCACCAAGGCAGCGAUCAGUAGCUGGUCUGAGAGGAUGACCAGCCACACUGGGACUGAGACACGGCCCAGACUCCUACGGGAGGCAGCAGUGGGGAAUUUUCCGCAAUGGGCGAAAGCCUGACGGAGCAAUACCGCGUGAGGGAAGAAGGCUCUUGGGUUGUAAACCUCUUUUCUUAGGGAAGAACAAAAUGACGGUACCUAAGGAAUCAGCAUCGGCUAACUCCGUG